rnacentral:rRNA from 1 species
AGGAAUAUUGGUCCAAUGGGCGAGAGCCUGACCCAGCCCAGUCGCGUGAAGGAAGAAGGUCCUUAUGGAUUGUAAACUUCUUUUUGCACGGGAAUAAAGUGGAGUACGCGUAACCAGUUGUAGGUACCGUGAGAAUAAGGAUCGGCUAACUCCGUGCCAGCAGCCGCGGUAAUACGGAGGAUUCGAGCGUUAUCCGGAUUUAUUGGGUUUAAAGGGUGCGCAGGCGGAUUUAUAAGUCAGUGGUGAAAGUUUUGCGCUUAACGUAGACAUUGCCAUUGAAACUGUGGAUCUUGAGUACAAAUGAGGUAGGCGGAAUGUGUUGUGUAGCGGUGAAAUGCAUAGAUAUGACACAGAACUCCGAUUGCGAAGGCAGCAUACUGGGAUGCAACUGACGCUCAGGCACGAAAGCGUGGGGAUCAAACAGGAUUAGAUACCCUGGUAGUCCACGCAGUAAACGAUGAAUACUAGCUGUUUGCGAUAGACUGUUAGUGGCUCAAGCGAAAGCGAUAAGUAAUCCACCUGGGGAGUACG